GGACGAACGCUGGCGGCGUGCUUAACACAUGCAAGUCGAACGGAAAGGCCCUGCUUUUGUGGGGUGCUCGAGUGGCGAACGGGUGAGUAACACGUGAGUAACCUGCCCUUGACUUUGGGAUAACUUCAGGAAACUGGGGCUAAUACCGGAUAGGAGCUCCUGCUGCAUGUUGGGGGUUGGAAAGUUUCGGCGGUUGGGGAUGGACUCGCGGCUUAUCAGCUUGUUGGUGGGGUAGUGGCUUACCAAGGCUUUGACGGGUAGCCGGCCUGAGAGGGUGACCGGCGACAUUGGGACUGAGAUACGGCACAGACUCCUACGGGAGGCAGCAGUGGGGAAUAUUGCACAAUGGGCGGAAGCCUGAUGCAGCAACGACGCGUGCGGGAUGACGGCCUUCGGGUUGUAAACCGCUUUCGCCUGUGACGAAGCGUGAGUGACGGUAAUGGGUAAAGAAGCACCGGCUAACUACGUG
rnacentral:rRNA from 1 species